rnacentral:lncRNA from 1 species
GGAAAUAUAAUGAUGUUUAAUUUAUGUAAUUCAUUAGACAUCAACAAGGGAGAAAUAUGGGAUUCUAGGAAAAACCUAACCACUUUAUCUAAAUUGUCAAAACAAUUAUUUUAUUUCCAGCCAUAAAGUUGAAACCUCUCCCCUCAAUUAUUACUUUUUUACACUUGCACAACUAUUGCUUUGUUAAAUAGCAGUCCUUGGGGAUUCGAUACUUUUUUAUAUUACUUUGACACUAUCGAUACACUUGUCGAGAAGUCAUCAAGGUUUUGGCGCCGUUGUCAGGGGACCGUUGAUAAUUUUAACAAGGAAAUGCUUGUGCAAUGUUUUGCUUAUUUAGUUUUUGUUUUUAUUUUUGUUUUCUCAUAAUUGUUUAAUUACAGUGCUACUAAGGUAUUUCUUAUUUGUGUAUGCGCAACUCAGGAUCAAAAUUGACACCGCUUGAUCCAAAAAUUGAAAGGAUUGCACGUGCCAUCAUGAGAGAGGUUAGUAAAGUGACUCUAACCCAAAGGAUGUUAGUAGAAAAACAUUCACUGAUCUCUUCAGACUCCGAAGAGAAAAUCAUCAUGGUAGGCAUACC